rnacentral:rRNA from 1 species
UACAGAGGGUGCAAGCGUUGUUCGGAAUUAUUGGGCGUAAAGCGCUUGUAGGCGGCUUAGCAAGUCGGGCGUGAAAGCCCUCGGCUCAACCGAGGAAGUGCACCCGAAACUGCUGAGCUUGAGUGCCGGAGAGGAUGGCGGAAUUCCCCAAGUAGAGGUGAAAUUCGUAGAUAUCGAGAGGAACACCGGUGGCGAAGGCGGCAUUCUGGACAGUGACUGACGCUGAGACGCGAAAGCGUGGGGAGCAAACAGG